rnacentral:misc_RNA from 1 species
UAUGAUAUCUGUAAUUGCUGGAACCGGGGAGGGUAAGAGGGUUGGUUUUGUGUCAAAGCAUCUGGUGCUUAGGCAAGUCCUUUUCAUUUUAAGGUAAAUUGACUUGCCUACAAUGACAGUAGAUAAAGAAACAAGCUUUGAGAGAUGAAAAAAAAUAAUCUUUAUUGAUUGUCCCCAUUAUAAAUAGAGUUUGAUGCAAAGAAAAAGAGCAAAUAUACAACAAAGCCUGGAAGGCCUGCAUACAACAAUCUUAAACACCCCUUCGAAGAACUUGUAUGGAUACUUUUGAAUUUAGCAGUAAAAGGACGGGAGAAAGAAA